rnacentral:rRNA from 1 species
AAAAAAGGUAAGCUACUAAGAGCGAAUGGUGGAUGCCUUGACUGGUAAAGGCGAUGAAGGACGUACUAGACUGCGAUAAGCUACGGGGAGCUGUCAAGAAGCUUUGAUCCGUAGAUUUCCGAAUGGGGCAACCCAAUGUAUAGAGAUAUACAUUACCUAUAUAGGAGCGAACGAGGGGAAUUGAAACAUCUUAGUACCCUCAGGAAAAGAAAUCAAUAGAGAUUGCGUCAGUAGCGGCGAGCGAAAGCGCAAGAGGGCAAACCCAGUGCUUGCACUGGGGGUUGUAGGACUGCAAUGUGCAAGAGGUGAGUUUAGCAGAACAUUCUGGAAAGUAUAGCCAUAGAGGGUGAUAGUCCCGUAUGCGAAAAACAAACCUUAGCUAGCAGUAUCCUGAGUAGGGCGGGACACGAGAAAUCCUGUCUGAAGCUGGGUCGACCACGAUCCAACCCUAAAUACUAAUACCAGAUCGAUAGUGCACAAGUACCGUGAGGGAAAGGUGAAAAGAACUGAGGUGAUCAGAGUGAAAUAGAACCUGAAACCAUUUGCUUACAAUCAUUCAGAGCCCUAUGUAGCAAUACAGGGUGAUGGACUGCCUUUUGCAUAAUGAGCCUGCGAGUUGUGGUGUCUGGCAAGGUUAAGCAAACGCGAAGCCGUAGCGAAAGCGAGUCUGAAUAGGGCGCUUAGUCAGAUGCUGCAGACCCGAAACGAAGUGAUCUAUCCAUGAGCAAGUUGAAGCUAGUGUAAGAACUAGUGGAGGACUGAACCCAUAGGCGUUGAAAAGCCCCGGGAUGACUUGUGGAUAGGGGUGAAAGGCCAAUCAAACUUCGUGAUAGCUGGUUCUCUCCGAAAUAUAUUUAGGUAUAGCGUUGUGUCGUAAUAUAAGGGGGUAGAGCACUGAAUGGGCUAGGGCAUACACCAAUGUACCAAACCCUAUCAAACUCCGAAUACCUUAUAUGUAAUCACAGCAGUCAGGCGGCGAGUGAUAAAAUCCGUCGUCAAGAGGGAAACAACCCAGACUACCAGCUAAGGUCCCUAAAUCUUACUUAAGUGGAAAACGAUGUGAAGUUACUUAAACAACCAGGAGGUUGGCUUAGAAGCAGCCAUCCUUUAAAGAAAGCGUAAUAGCUCACUGGUCUAGUGAUUUUGCGCGGAAAAUAUAACGGGGCUAAAGUAAGUACCGAAGCUGUAGACUUGCGCACAACUUAGAUUAUUUAAGUUUAGAAUAUGAGAAACUAAGUUAUAUGUUUAGUUAUAUUUUUACUGAUUUUUAUAGAGUAAAGAUAGAAAUAAAACUUAGUAAAAUCAGUAAAAAUAUUCUUAGACUAAAGUUAAGUAGUUUAAGUUGUGUGCAAGUGGUAGGAGAGCGUUCUAUUUGCGUCGAAGGUAUACCGGUAAGGAGUGCUGGAGCGAAUAGAAGUGAGCAUGCAGGCAUGAGUAGCGAUAAUUAAUGUGAGAAUCAUUAACGCCGUAAACCCAAGGUUUCCUACGCGAUGCUCGUCAUCGUAGGGUUAGUCGGGUCCUAAGUCGAGUCCGAAAGGGGUAGACGAUGGCAAAUUGGUUAAUAUUCCAAUACCAACAUUAGUGUGCGAUGGAAGGACGCUUAGGGCUAAGGGGGCUAGCGGAUGGAAGUGCUAGUCUAAGGUCGUAGGAGGUUAUACAGGCAAAUCCGUAUAACAAUACUCCGAGAACUGAAAGGCUUUUUGAAGUCUUCGGAUGGAUAGAAGAACCCCUGAUGCCGUCGAGCCAAGAAAAGUUUCUAAGUUUAGCUAAUGUUGCCCGUAC